GAUGAACGCUGGCGGCGUGCCUAAUACAUGCAAGUCGAGCGAACAGACGAGGAGCUUGCUCCUCUGACGUUAGCGGCGGACGGGUGAGUAACACGUGGAUAACCUACCUAUAAGACUGGGAUAACUUCGGGAAACCGGAGCUAAUACCGGAUAAUAUAUUGAACCGCAUGGUUCAAUAGUGAAAGACGGUUUUGCUGUCACUUAUAGAUGGAUCCGCGCCGCAUUAGCUAGAUGGUAAGGUAACGGCUUACCAAGGCAGCGAUGCGUAGCCGACCUGAGAGGGUGAUCGGCCACACUGGAACUGAGACACGGUCCAGACUCCUACGGGAGGCAGCAGUAGGGAAUCUUCCGCAAUGGGCGAAAGCCUGACGGAGCAACGCCGCGUGAGUGAUGAAGGUCUUCGGAUCGUAAAACUCUGUUAUUAGGGAAGAACAAAUGUGUAAGUAACUAUGCACGUCUUGACGGUACCUAAUCAGAAAGCCACGGCUAACUACGUG
rnacentral:rRNA from 1 species